AGUGAACGCUGGCGGUAGGCCUAACACAUGCAAGUCGAACGGCAGCACAGUAAGAGCUUGCUCUUACGGGUGGCGAGUGGCGGACGGGUGAGGAAUACAUCGGAAUCUACUUUUUCGUGGGGGAUAACGUAGGGAAACUUACGCUAAUACCGCAUACGACCUACGGGUGAAAGCAGGGGAUCUUCGGACCUUGCGCGAUUGAAUGAGCCGAUGUCGGAUUAGCUAGUUGGCAAGGUAAAGGCCCACCAAGGCGACGAUGCGUAGCUGAUCUGAGCGGAUGAUAGGCCACACUGGAACUGAGACACGGUCCAGACUCUUACGGGAGGAAGCAGUAGGGAAUAUUACGCAAUGGGCGAAAGCAUGAAGGAGCAAAGCCGCGUGAGUGAUGAAGGGCUUCGGAUCGUAAAACUCUGUUAUUAGGAAAGAACAAAUGUGUAAGUAACUAUGCACGUCUUGACGGUACCUAAUCAGAAAGCCACGGCUAACUACGUG
rnacentral:rRNA from 1 species